rnacentral:lncRNA from 1 species
UUUUAUAUAGAGAUGCACGUGUACGUGUGUACAUAUAGAUUCUGUCACUAAGUUUAUCUAUAGAGAUGCACGUGUACGUGUGUACAUAUAGAUUCUGUCACUAAGUUUAUCUAUAGAGAUGCACGUGUACGUGUGUACAUAUAGAUUCUGUCACUAAGUUUAUCUAUAGAGAUGCACGUGUACGUGUGUAUAUAUAGAUUCUGUCACUAAGUUUAUCUAUAGAGAUGCACGUGUACGUGUGUAUAUAGAUUCUGUCACUAAGUUUAUCUAUAGAGAUGCACGUGUACGUGUGUAUAUAGAUUCUGUCACUAAGUUUAUCUAUAGAGAUGCACGUGUACGUGUGUAUAUAUAGAUUCUGUCACUAAGUUUAUCUAUAGAGAUGCACGUGUACGUGUGUAUAUAUAGAUUCUGUCACUAAGUUUAUCUAGAGAUGCACGUGUACGUGUGUAUAUAUAGAUUCUGUCACUAAGUUUAUCUAUAGAGAUGCACGUGUACGUGUGUAUAUAUAGAUUCUGUCACUA